UCAGGAUGAACGCUAGCGGCAGGCUAACACAUGCAAGUCGAGGGGCAUCGGGAGUAGCAAUACUGCCGGCGACCGGCGCAAGGGUGCGUAACGCGUGAGCAACAUGCCCGUAUCAGGGGGAUAAUCCAUGGAAACGUGGUCUAAUACCCCAUAGUAAUUAUGUAAGGCAUCUUAUAUAAUUUAAAGCUUUGGUGGAUACGGAUUGGCUCGCGUGACAUUAGCUAGAUGGUAAGGUAACGGCUUACCAUGGCUACGAUGUCUAGGGGUUCUGAGAGGAAGGCCCCCCACACUGGAACUGAGACACGGUCCAGACUCCUACGGGAGGCAGCAGUGAGGAAUAUUGGACAAUGGAUGGAAAUCUGAUCCAGCCAUGCCGCGUGCCAGGAAGACGGCCCUAUGGGUUGUAAACUGCUUUUGUAUGGGAGCAAUAAGGGCUACGCGUAGUCCGAUGAGAGUACCAUACGAAUAAGCACCGGCUAACUCCGUGCCAGCAGCCGC
rnacentral:rRNA from 1 species